rnacentral:rRNA from 1 species
UACGUAGGGUGCAAGCGUUGUCCGGAAUCAUUGGGCGUAAAGAGCGUGUAGGCGGCUCGAUAAGUCCGCUGUAAAAGUCCAGGGCUCAACCCUGGGAUGCCGGUGGAAACUGUCGGGCUAGAGUCCGGGAGAGGCGAGUGGAAUUCCUGGUGUAGCGGUGAAAUGCGCAGAUAUCAGGAGGAACACCAAUGGCGAAGGCAGCUCGCUGGAACGGUACUGACGCUGAGACGCGAGAGCGUGGGGAGCAAACAGG